ACAAGAGAGACACAAGUUAUUGUGUUCUGCAAGUAAAAGAUUGUUUAUCACCAUUUCCAUCCUUAACCAUGAGAUCUGCUACUUGGUGUAUAUUUUUUUGUUUUCUCAUCUUUCUCGUAAUUAGUGAUGGUAAAAGACAUAAAGAGGAGGUUGAACCAGAUAAAUUUUGUACAAGAUUCGAAGAUAUCGAAGGAAACUGCAAAGUUGGUGGACCGAAAGCGUGUGCAAAGUAUAUGUCGACAAAUCCUAAUUCUAAGAUUAAUUAUUUUAAUUGCACUUGUGACAACAUCUACAUGUUACGUAAGAUCAAGCGUUACUGCCUAUGUCAGUCACUAUGUAGAGACCACCCUCCACCUUCACCGAUCCAGCCUCGUUAAAUAAGAUCUCAUUAGUCCUUACUAAUAACAAAAGUGAAGUUGUGAGAAUUUGUAGUGUGGGACAUGACGCACAAAUAAUUUUUGUUAGUCAAGUCUUUUCUUAUGUAAUAAAGAGUUAUGAGUUGAUAUUUUAUAACUAGUAUGAGUUUCUCAAUCAA